AGUUUCCAGAUUUCUCUACACCUCUCUUCCAGUACCAAGGCAGAAGUAAUAACUCAAGAGGUAUUUUUAUUGCUACUCCUAUUCCUGUCCUGGGAUGAAAAUUAAAGGAGGAUACUGAGGAGAGAAGAGGGAAUCAAAGUAUUCUCUGCCUGAGCAAAAUUAACAGAGGAAAGGAAGGCAUAGCCUCCUACAGAAAGCCUCACUGCCUGCUCUUCUUUACAAGAAGUCAGAAGUGGAAAACCAGCUGUAGGCUGCAACUUGGCACAGCUACUUGACUGCUAGCAGCAGGGGUCAAAAACAUGAUUAAGCUCCAUUAUGCUCUCCAAGUAUCAAACUAGACUAGAAAGUAGAUUUGGGCUUCUUCAAACAACUCCAGCAACCGAAAAUGAAAAAUCCAGCCUACUUACCUAAACACGGGAUAUACCUGAAGAUACAAAUCCUUGCACUGCAGAGCAUUACCUCCCAUAAGCACUUAUCCAUUCAAAGACUUCUUGUAUGGGUAACCACAAUAAAUUCAGUGUGAUGGCCACUGAAGAAUGGUCCAAGCUGCCUCCUCUUUAUUCAUUCUUCAGUUAACACUACUUCUUAUCACAUGCAGUACUCAGGUAAAUAAAAAAUUAUCUUUCUAG
rnacentral:lncRNA from 7 species